CAGGCCUAACACAUGCAAGUCGAACGAUGUCUUUCGGGACAUAGUGGCGCACGGGUGCGUAACGCGUGGGAAUCUGCCCUGGGGUUCGGGAUAACCGUUGGAAACGACGGCUAAUACCGGAUGAUGAUGAAAAUCCAAAGAUUUAUCGCCCUGGGAUGGGCCCGCGUAGGAUUAGCUAGUUGGUGGGGUAAUGGCCUACCAAGGCGACGAUCCUUAGCUGGUCUGAGAGGAUGAUCAGCCACACUGGGACUGAGACACGGCCCAGACUCCUACGGGAGGCAGCAGUGGGGAAUAUUGGACAAUGGGCGAAAGCCUGAUCCAGCAAUGCCGCGUGAGUGAUGAAGGCCUUAGGGUUGUAAAGCUCUUUUACCCGGGAUGAUAAUGACAGUACCGGGAGAAUAAGCUCCGGCUAACUCCGUGCCAGCAGCCGCGGUAAU
rnacentral:rRNA from 1 species